rnacentral:rRNA from 1 species
AACGGAGGAGCACGAAGGUGGGCUAAUCACGGUUGGACAUCGUGAGGUUAGUGCAAUGGCAUAAGCCCGCUUGACUGCGAGAAUGACAAUUCGAGCAGGUGCGAAAGCAGGUCAUAGUGAUCCGGUGGUUCUGAAUGGAAGGGCCAUCGCUCAACGGAUAAAAGGUACUCCGGGGAUAACAGGCUGAUACCGCCCAAGAGUUCAUAUCGACGGCGGUGUUUGGCACCUCGAUGUCGGCUCAUCACAUCCUGGGGCUGAAGUCGGUCCCAAGGGUAUGGCUGUUCGCCAUUUAAAGUGGUACGCGAGCUGGGUUUAGAACGUCG